AUGGCUCAGAUGAACGCUGCGGCAGGCUAAUACAUGCAAGUCGAACGGUAACGGCAGGAAGCUGCUCCUGGCUGACGAGUGGCGGACGGGUGAGUAAUACCUGGGGAGCUGCCUGAAUGAGGGGGACAACACCUGGAAACGGGUGCUAAUACCGCGUAAGCCCUGAGGGGGAAAGGCCGGGCAACCGGUCGCAUUCAGAUGCGCCCAGGUGGGAUUAGCUAGUUGGUGGGGUAACGGCCUACCAAGGCGACGAUCUCUAGCUGGUCUGAGAGGAUGAUCAGCCACACUGGAACUGAGACACGGUCCAGACUCCUACGGGAGGCAGCAGUAGGGAAUAUUGCACAAUGGGGGGAACCCUGAUGCAGCCAUGCCGCGUGUGUGAAGAAAGGCCUUUGGGUUGUAAAGCACUUUCAGUAUGGAGGAAGUGAGCUGAGUUAAUAGCUUAGUUCAUUGACGUUACAUACAGAAGAAGCACCGGCUAACUCCGUGCCAGCCGCCGC
rnacentral:rRNA from 1 species